GACGAACGCUGGCGGCGUGCUUAACACAUGCAAGUCGAACGGAAAGGCCCUGCUUUUGUGGGGUGCUCGAGUGGCGAACGGGUGAGUAACACGUGAGUAACCUGCCCUUGACUUUGGGAUAACUUCAGGAAACUGGGGCUAAUACCGGAUAGGAGCUCCUGCUGCAUGGUGGGGGUUGGAAAGCUUCGGCGGUUGGGGAUGGACUCGCGGCUUAUCAGCUUGUUGGUGGGGUAGUGGCUUACCAAGGCUUUGACGGGUAGCCGGCCUGAGAGGGUGACCGGCCACAUUGGGACUGAGAUACGGCCCAGACUCCUACGGGAGGCAGCAGUGGGGAAUAUUGCACAAUGGGCGGAAGCCUGAUGCGGCAACGCCGCGUGCGGGAUGACGGCCUUCGGGUUGUAAACCGCUUUCGCCUGUGACGAAGCGUGAGUGACGGUAAUGGGUAAAGAAGCACCGGCUAACUACGUG
rnacentral:rRNA from 1 species